GCAUAUCAAUAAGCGGAGGAAAAGAAACUAACAAGGAUUCCCUUAGUAACGGCGAGUGAAGCGGGAAGAGCUCAAAUUUGAAAUCUUCAAGGUUUUACCUUGACGAAUUGUAGUUUAAAGAAGUGUUUUCUGUUGAAGUUUUGGUAAAAGUUCUUUGGAAUAGGACAUCAUAGAGGGUGAGAAUCCCGUAUUUGACCAUUAUUUUCAGCUGUGUGAUACACUUUCAAAGAGUCGGAUUGUUUGGGAAUGCAGUCCAAAAUGGGUGGUAAAUUUCAUCUAAAGCUAAAUAUUGGCGAGAGACCGAUAGCGAACAAGUACCGUGAGGGAAAGAUGAAAAGAACUUUGAAAAGAGAGUUAAACAGCACGUGAAAUUGUCAAAAGGGAAGCGUUUGACACCAGUGUUGUUUUCUCGAAAAUCAAUUAAAAAGAGUUGGAUUUUGUGUUGUAUUGACCUUAACAGCUUGCUUCACUCUUUUCCAGCUUUUUUUAAUGCACUUUUCGUUUAACAAGUCAACAUCAGUUUCUUUUGUUGUAAAAGGGUCAUUGGAAGGUGGCUUUCUCUUCGGAGAAAGUGUUUAUAGCCUUUGAUCUCUGCAAUCGGAGAGACUGAGGUCUGCAGCGUAGAUCCUUCGGGGUUAGAUACAUUUGUGCUAAGCUACAGCUUUUCAUAGACAACUUGUUGACUAUGUUUAGUCUUGUGACUUACCCGCUUAUGCUAUUUUACCUACGCUUAGGAUGUUGACAAAAUGGUUUUAAACGACCCGUCUUGAAACACGGACC
rnacentral:rRNA from 1 species